GCACCCGUAGCUCAACUGGAUAGAGCGACAGUCUACGGAACUGUAGGUUGGCGGUUCGAGCCCGUCCGGGUGCA
rnacentral:tRNA from 1 species